GACGAAGGAUGCAAGCGUUAUCCGGAUUCAUUGGGUUUAAAGGGAGCGUAGGCGGCCUUAUAAGUCAGUGGUGAAAUCUUUGGGCUUAACCCAAAAAUUGCCAUUGAUACUGUAGGGCUUGAGUACAGUUGCUGUGGGCGGAAUAUGACAUGUAGUGGUGAAAUACAUAGAGAUGUCAUAGAACGCCGAUUGCGAAGGCAGCUCACAAAACUGUAACUGACGCUGAGGCUCGAAAGUGCGGGGAUCAAACAGG
rnacentral:rRNA from 1 species